UCGGAAACUGGGAAACUUGAGUGCAGAAGAGACAGUGAACUCCAUGUGUAGCGUGAAAUGCGUAGAUAUAUGGAAGAACACCAGUGGCGAAGGCGCUGUCUGGUCUGUAACUGACGCUGAGGCUCGAAAGUAUGGGUAGCAAACAGGAUUAGAUACCCUGGUAGUCCAUACGUAAACGAUGAAUGCUAAGUGUUGGAGGGUUUCCGCCCUUUCAGUGCUGCAGCUAACGCAUUAAGCAUUCCGCCUGGGGAGUACGGCCGCAAGGCUGAAACUCAAAGGAAUUGACGGGGGCCCGCACAAGCGGUGGAGCAUGUGGUUUAAUUCGAAGCUACGCGAAGAACCUUACCAGGUCUUGACAUACUAUGCAAAUCUAAGAGAUUAGACGUUCCCUUCGGGGACAUGGAUACAGGUGGUGCAUGGUUGUCGUCAGCUCGUGUCGUGAGAUGUUGGGUUAAGUCCCGCAACGAGCGCAACCCUUAUUAUCAGUUGCCAGCAUUAAGUUGGGCACUCUGGUGAGACUGCCGGUGACAAACCGGAGGAAGGUGGGGAUGACGUUAUAUCAUCAUGCCCCUUAUGACCUGGGCUACACACGUGCUACAAUGGAUGGUACAACGAGUUGCGAACUCGCGAGAGUAAGCUAAUCUCUUAAAGCCAUUCUCAGUUCGGAUUGUAGGCUGCAACUCGCCUACAUGAAGUCGGAAUCGCUAGUAAUCGCGGAUCAGCAUGCCGCGGUGAAUACGUUCCCGGGCCUUGUACACACCGCCCGUCACACCAUGAGAGUUUGUAACACCCAAAGUCGGUGGGGUAACCUUUUAGGAACCAGCCGCCUAAGGUGGGACAGAUGAUUAGGGUGAAGUCGUAACAAGGUAGCCGUAGGAGAACCUGCGGCUGGAUCACCUCCUUUAUGAAUCGGAU
rnacentral:rRNA from 2 species